GCCUAUAAAAGGAGGCAUUUGCCAUGUAUUUGGGGGCUUGGUUGUUCAGAUCAAGCUCAUGCUCUUUAUUUCUCUCUUUAUAUUUGUUUUGUAAUUUUUAAGUUUUGCUUUCAUUAAUAUCUUGUUUAUGCUUUUCAUUUCCUUUCCUUUACUUAGUUAACUUGUAUUUUCUUUAUGUUCUUGUUUUGUUUAUUUAUGUUUCUCUUCUUCAUUAUGUUUAGCUAAGUUUAUUAUGUCAAGGUGAAAAGGUUACACUAAUGGUGUAAGAAUAAAUAUAGUGUAAACUCAACAUGGAUCUUAAUGUUUAAUAUUAACAUGUCUUAUCUUUUUAUCUUACUAAUUCUUAAUACCUUGCUUGUUAAAUGGUUAAUCUAGAUUUGUGUUGUAUAACACUUGGUACAACAAAUGCUUGGCACUCUCAUAGCCCAACAGUAUGGUAUUACCUACACCUGAGCUAUGAAAGGAACUUGAUUUAUUGUUAACAUCAGUUAAUAUCAUGAAUUCCUGAUAAUAUUUAAAAGUUUGGUGUUAUGUAAUUAAGAUAAUUAAUAUGAUCAUGUUUGUUGUAACCCAUUUUUGGGUCCCCACAUAAAAAAUAAUAAAAUACAAAAAAAUUCAAAAAAAUAUAUUAUAAAAAAAAUAUAACAGUGAAAAAAUGCCAGAGCGCCCUAAAAAUGUUCAAAAAUUGAUUGAGGAUGUUCACAAAAAUAUAAAAAUUAUUUUUUGACAGUAUAUCAUUAACUGAUGAGAGCCCCGAUGAUAAAGAAAAUUCAAUUUGUGGAAGAAAAAUGCAAAAUCAGAAGUUUAUGGACUCAAUUAAAUUUUAUUAAAGGUUUAAUUGCAUUUAUGAAGAUUUUAAUUGCAAGAAAAAUUGAUUUUGGAGUUAAUUUGGGCUUUAAUUAGGAGAAAUUAAUUUUCUAGGGUCAAAUUAUAAUUUUUGGAAGUUAAUUUGGUCAAAUCAGGGGCUUAAUUGCAUAAAUAUUGAGGUUUAAUGGCCAAUUAGGGACUGAAUUGAAGAAAUCCGAGACCAAGGACUAAAUUGUAAAACGCGCGCAAAUGGAGGGCCGAAAUUUGAAUCUGAUUCUUUUGGCGCCUUUUUCCUUUUAAAUGAAACGGCGCGUUUUGACCAAAACGGCGCCGUUUCAUUCACUGUUGCUAAAAAAAAAAAAAAAAAAAAAAAAACAGAAGCCCAAAACGGUGCCGUUUUGACGGCACUGUAGCUCUUCUUCUUCCCCUGGACGCGCGAGGCAGGGGAAGAAGAAGAUUUUUUCUUCCCCUUUUCGCCUACUUUCUUUCCCGGCUUUGGCGCAAUAAGACGCCCACAAUUCACCCACUUGUUUGGCGUUGUUAUCCGUUGAAGGUAGUGGAGGGGGGCGGCCAACAGUAGCCGCCCCAACACGUUCUCCCUCCCCUGUUUUCCUAUAAAUACAGGGGAGGGCUGUUGAAAAAAAAAAAAAAAAAGAAGAGAGGAGAAGAGAAGAGAAGGGAGAGACAGAGAGAAGAAAGCAGAAGAAGAAGAAGCAGAGAAGAGAGUCCACCGCAGGUAGACUCCGCCCCCCUGUUUUUCCCGUCGUUUUUUUUUGUUCUGCAUGCAUAUUAAUUAGCGAGUUACUGUGCUGUCCGGCCCAUUUCAAAGAAAAAAAAUCAAAAAUAUUUGUUUCAGCAUUUUAUAAUUUUUCCGUGUAAUUUUUAUGUCAUUUUGAUUAAUAUUUGGUGGUAUUUUUUUAUGUUGUUAAAAAAUACAAAAAUCUGAUAUCAAAAUACCUGGUUUUCGGCAAAAAACUUCCAAAAAUAAAAUUAAAAAUUAAAAAAGAGAAAAAAAUGUUUUGUGCAUACGGCCAAGUGUCUCAAAAUCUAAAAAAUCAUAUCGUAUUUUCAUAUGUCAAAAAAACAAUAUUUUAGCAUGCAUUUUGGCUUUAAUAACCAGUUUAUUAAAGUCAAGAGAACAUUGGCCAAAAUUUCAAAAACAACAAAAUAUUUUAUUUUGUUUGAUUUUAGUAUCAGGGAUUAUGAAUUUAUACGUAAAUCGUAUUCCUGAUAUUAAAAAAAUUUUCUUUUUGACGACUUCGAUAGUUAGUGUUUUUUUUUACCCGAUAAAGAUAAGGACCUCCUUAUAGAGGAGGACUUUUCUUAACCGUAAACGAACCAACAAUUCAAAAAAAAAAAACACAACACGAUUUUAGAUUUUAUCAGACAUUAAAACAAUGCAGCCUACCUUAGGUAGGGCGUAGUUGGGGUGCUAAUACCUUCCCUUUACGCAACCAGUCUCCGUACCCGAUCUCUAAAGACCAGUUAAGGUUCCUAGUAACCAGAAUACUAGGUGGCGACUCCCGGUCCAUAUUUUCAUAUAGAGACAAGAAUUCCUUGUCUCUCCCCAUUUGCCAGGAAUAAAUAUUUCCGAUUUUUUUCCUUGAGGGUGGAUGAUCGCCGCGCCGCCGCACACGUGCGACAGAAUGGCGACUCCACUGGGGACCUUGUGGACUAAGCAUUGUUUUGUCUAGUUUUUUUUUCUUUGGAUUUAUUGUGUUUUAUUUUUAAGAUGAAUUUCCCUUAGUUAUUUGCUCAUAUGCUUUAAAUUUGUACAUAUUUGUUCAUGCAUUAUAGAUUGUGUCAUGCAUCAUUCAUAUGAGAGUUUGUACUGAAAAACUUUAAGUUAAGUGGGGGACUAGCAGCUUACCUUACGACUUUUAGUCAAGGUUUAAGUUUGUGUAAACCCCAACUCUUCGCUGAGUGCUUAGACUGGUAACAGUUGGUACACGUGCCAUCUCAUUGCCUACAAGCCCCCAUAUUGCCUCCACGAGGGCGAUCACUGGGACAGCAAGAGACCCUUUUUUAGAGACUGAAUAGCCAACCUACCCAUGUUCACAUAAUAAAUAUGUCCUUAGUUUGUAUGUGCUAUCGUUAUUUGCAUCCAAGCAAGCCCUUCUUGAAGCAUCUUGAACUCCAGACUUUUGGGUGACACAAUGGCCGUCGCUCAGAAAAUUUUCAUUGUAGAGUUUGUGCAAGAAUCAAGAUUCUUGUUUCAUCAUACAAGAGUUGCGACCAUAUGUCACCCCUCGAAGGGCGAGUUCGUCAUAUAGAUUACAUGUUCAUACAUUUAACAUGCAUACAUGUCAGAUUGAAAUAUAGGUCCCCAAAAAGUCUACAACACCCGACUUCGAGCAAGAAACAUGGAAGAUGAAGAGCGUGCUCAACGUGAGGCCUAUUUGAACGAAGAGUUGGAGUCUCUGAAAAUAAGUGUGGCUCACCUCACUAGCUUACUCAAGCAAACACUAAGAAAUACCUCUGAUGAAGGUCCUUCUAAUCAACCGAUCACCUUUAAUCCGGCUCCUACUACAGUUCAGCCUGAGGAAAGAAUGAGCGAACAUGGUCAAGAACCUCAGCAAAAUCCAACAUUUGUGCAGUCAACGACACCUGCACCAUCCCCAACAGUCGUGAAGGCAUCUGCUAAUGAGUCCCACAAGGCUAAGUCAUCUGAUAGCAUUGAUCAAGCUAAGAUAGAGGCGUUGGAAGCCAGACUUAAAGCCAUUGAAGGGAUAGACUUAUAUGACCCGGUCCGGGCAGCAGAGAUGUGUUUGGUCCCAAAUGUGGUUGUCCCAAAGAAAUUUCGUGUUCCUGAAUUCAUCAAAUACAGUGGAACACAAUGCCCCAUGACUCAUCUCAGGUCUUACUGCAAUAAAAUGGCUGAGGUAGUACAUGAUGAAAAACUACUAAUGCACUUUUUCCAAGACAGUUUAAGUGGGGCAACUUUGAGUUGGUACAUGAGAUUGGAUAACACAAAAAUUCGCAACUGGAAAAAUCUUGUGGAUGCUUUCGUCAAGCAAUACAAGUACAACAUGGACAUUGCGCCCGACAGAACCAGUUUGUCCAAUAUAGAGAAAAAGGAUAAAGAAAGCAUAAGGGAAUAUGCUCAAAGAUGGCGAGAAUUAGCUGCUCAAGUACAUCCCCCACUUCUGGACAAAGAGAUGGUCUCUUUAUUUGCCAACACACUCAAAGCACCAUAUUACGAACAUAUGAUGGGUAGUUCAGCCCAACAAUUCACUGAUGCUGUGAUAGUGUGUGAACGCAUAGAGCAAGGUGUCAAGAGUGGUAGAAUUGCUGCACCAACCGAGAAAAGAGGCGUCGAAAAAAAGAGGUUCACCAUGUUGAAGAUGGCUACAAGGGUAAAACAAAUACAUCCCAAAAUUACCAUACUCCAUCCCAAAUUGCCAACAUCAAAACUGAACCCCAAAACUUUCAAGCCAAAAGCCAAAUUGGAAAUUUCCAAAGGGUUCAGAACAACUACCUCCACUACCGUUACCCCUGAAUGAGAUGUAUCAAAAGCUAUUAAGCAUCGGGCAAAUAGCUCCAGAACCUCUAACACCUCUGCAACCACCUUAUCCUAAUUGGUACAAGCCAGAACUCAAUUGUGAAUACCAUGCCGGUAUUACUGGGCAUAGCAUCUAUACCUGCAACGCCUUCAAGAGAAAGCUUCUGCAAUUAAUCAAGGCUGGGUGGAUAGAAUUGGAAGAUGCCCCCAAUGUGAAUACGAACCCGUUGCCUAAUCAUGCUUGAAGCAUAUUAGGAUGGAAUGUUUGGGGAAUUGGAAAGCAUCAAUGGUCCAGCAUGAUAGCUUGAAUUUUUGACCGUGGUGUUGUUCCGCAUUGUCUUUGAGUCCUCUACGCAGAGCUUUUGAGAGGAGUUAGCCUAUGAACAGAUUCGCCAAAAUAGAGGAAUGAAGCCUACCUUGUUAUUGCCUUUUGUUAAUGCUUUUGAAUAAGACUUUCUCUGUUAAUGAGCUUCUCUUGUGAAAUAAGAUCAUGUGUUUUCUUGUGUUCACAUCACACUCUUGUUAUUACAUGUAAAUAAUUUUGAGCGCAACUUUGCUCACAACACUACAACAUGAAGAAUCCUUUGGUGUUCCUUUCUUCCAAACCCAUACAUUAAUCUCAUAUGUUUUCAAGGAUAUUUUUUGGGACCUCCAAAGUGAGUACAAAAACAAAAAUCGUGUUGAUAUUUGUCCAAAACAAAUGCAUUUUGGAAAUUCAAGUGAUUCCUUAAAUAGGUACACAUAUACCUAGAAAACUUGAAAGAAAAAAAGACAAAUAAAGACAAACAACACUAUGAGGUGACUCAAAAGCUGAGUUUUAUUUGACUGAAUAAAUCACUUUGCAUACGCGCAUGAAAGCAAGACCUAUCGAUCCUCACUGCAAUGAGUUUGAGAUGAGGAAAGGCCAUCUUUGAUAAUCCUUUCACAAGACUGAAAUAUAUCCUUUGCAGUCCCAUUUUGAGCCUAGUAAUGUUUUUGGAAAUAACCUUGACUAGGAUCACACCCCACACUGGGGGGCAAAAUAAUAAAGUUUUUACCCAUCCAGACAAAGCAGUGAAGAUGGGUGCUGGAUUUGAUCAUGUAAUUUUUAAUCUUUCAUUAUCAUCUAAAUGAAGCAGUGAUUGGUUAAGAAAAGAAAAGAAGAAGAUCUAAAGGAUCUAAAAGAUUUGAGCUUCUCAUAAAAACAACUGAUAUGAUUGUGCUCAACCAAACAAAAACAAAGAAAACAAAGAGAAAAACCCAAACCCGACACUGGGGGGCUGGACAAAUCAUUUUGAAAAAAAAACAAUUCCAAAAGACAAAAGGUCAGGAAACAAGCACAAGUGAUCCCUAGUCUUGAAAUCCCUUAAACACCUUUUGAGCCUGCAACAUAUCCAUUUUCUUCGUAACCAAUAGCUAAAGCCUACAUUACAUACCUGAUAAAGCCCUUUCUGAUCAAAGGCAAGCAAUCUGGAUCGGUAUGUAGUGCUUUCUCGUGCGAGUCAAAUCAUUAUUCAUGCAAAUAAAAUAAAUGCUUUGACUCAAUUCGGUUCUCAAUAACCCUCAAAUUGAACUUUAAACCUUUCGUGACCAACCAGAUGUCACUUCAUCUUUAAACCAAAAGCAAAAAGCUUUCAUCACUUCAAGAAACCUGUCCAUAGGAAUCGCUUGAAUUUUUUAAAACAAGUUUAUUUUGAACCAAUAUCAAAAUCAUUUUUGUGAUUGGAAUAACUUUGAAGUUCCAAAAAUUUUGCAUGAAAACAUUUCAUUGUACAAAAAACCCAAACUUACUUUCACAUAUCCUCACCCCAAACUAAACCCAAGUUGAACACUUGGGGGGGCAUCAAGCUGGGGGGCAAUCAAACACACAUGGUAGGGCUGGCUCCAUGAUUCCUUUUCUAAGGAAAAUGUCGGGCAAAAUUGGCAACUCUUGAGAUAAAGGGUGAAGGACAAAGAUGUAUGAUGACAUCAAACUUCCCAGAGGUCAAGAUCACAAUAUGUAACCCGAGUAAGCAAAAGUGGAAAAGCCAUCGAAGUUUACUACCAACACUACAACUUUUGAGAGAAAACAAAGACCCAUGAAGAAAUGGGGGCCUAUAUUUCUCAGGUAAGUAUACAUGCAUAUCACUCAUAAUGCAUUUGCUUUUCAACAUUGACAAUCAUUGUUUCAACAUCCCUUUGGUAGUGCGUUUUCUAACCCUACCUCCUUUUGAGUGCGCCUUUGAGCCCUCACCUCCAUUUUGAGUGCGCCUUCGAGCCCUCACCUCCAUUUUGAGUGCGCCUUUGAGCCCUCAUCCCUUCGGUAGUGCGUUUUCUAACCCUACCUCCAUUUUGAGUGCGCCUUUGAGCCCUCACCUCCAUUUUGAGUGCGCCUUUGAGCCCUCAUCCCUUCGGUAGUGCGUUUUAACCCUACCUCCUUUGAGUGCGCCUUUGAGCCCUCACCUCCUUUUGAGUGCGCCUUUGGCCCUCACCUCCAUUUUGAGUGCGCCUUUGAGCCCUCAUCCCUUCGGUAGUGCGUUUUCUAACCCUACCUCCUUUUGAGUGCGCCUUUGAGCCCUCACCUCCAUUUUGAGUGCGCCUUUGAGCCCUCAUCCCUUCGGUAGUGCGUUUUCUAACCCUACCUCCUUUUGAGUGCGCCUUUGAGCCCUCACCUCCAUUUUGAGUGCGCUUUGAGCCCUCAUCCCUUCGGUAGUGCGUUUUCUAACCCUACCUCCUUUUGAGUGCGCCUUUGAGCCCUCACCUCCAUUUUGAGUGCGCCUUUGAGCCCUCAUCCCUUCGGUAGUGCGUUUUCUAACCCUACCUCCUUUUGAGUGCGCCUUUGAGCCCUCACCUCCAUUUUGAGUGCGCCUUUGAGCCCUCAUCCCUUCGGUAGUGCGUUUUCUAACCCUACCUCCUUUUGAGUGCGCCUUUGAGCCCUCACCUCCAUUUUGAGUGCGCCUUUGAGCCCUCAUCCCUUCGGUAGUGCGUUUUCUAACCCUACCUCCUUUUGAGUGCGCCUUUGAGCCCUCACCUCCAUUUUGAGUGCGCUUUUGAGCCCUCAUCCCUUCGGUAGUGCGUUUUCUAACCCUACCUCCUUUUGAGUGCGCCUUUGAGCCCUCACCUCCAUUUUGAGUGCGCCUUUGAGCCCUCAUCCCUUCGGUAGUGCGUUUUCUAACCCUACCUCCUUUUGAGUGCGCCUUUGAGCCCUCACCUCCAUUUUGAGUGCGCCUUUGAGCCCUUGCCAACAUUUUUCUGGGUAGGUCACCCAUUACAACGCGACCAAUUCUCCAUGUAUUUUAUCUGGGUAGGUCACCCAUUACAAUGAGACCGCACUUCACAUUUUUUUCCUUUUUCUUUGGGUGGGUCACCCAUCAUAAUAAGACCGUUUUUUCCAUUCUUUCCACCUGGGUAGGUCACCCAUUACAAUGAGACCGUUUUUUUCCCACAUUUCUUUUGUUUUGGUUAAAUGAGGUUGCCAGAUGGGAUCUCAUGUAGCUUUGGUUAAAGGGAAUCUCCAUAUGAGAUUUCAGGUUGACCGAUCUACACACACAGGAUUUUGGUUCUGGUUAGAGGGGAUUGCCGAAAGGAAUCUCAGUCUAUCCCAACCACGCACAGGAUUUUGGUUCUGGUUAGAGGGGAUUGCCGAACGGAAUCUCAGUCUAUCCCAACCACGCACAGGAUUUUGGUUCUGGUUAGAGGGGAUUGCCGAAAGGAAUCUCAGUCUAUCCUAACCACACACACAUAAUAUUUAAGUUUCAGGUUAAAGGGGAUUGGCGAAAUGAAUCUCAGUUUAACCCAACCACACACAGGACUUUGGGUACGGUUGAAGUUUUAGGUCAAUCAAAUUUUGAGACGACCAGUUUCGGAAGACCAAUUUUAUUUUAUCUUUACAACACUUACUAUGCACAAAUCUUUGCUCCGUAAGCAUUGUAAAGAGGGGGGCAACUGUUGUAACCCAUUUUUGGGUCCCCACAUAAAAAAUAAUAAAAUACAAAAAAAUUCAAAAAAAUAUAUUAUAAAAAAAAUAUAACAGUGAAAAAAUGCCAGAGCGCCCUAAAAAUGUUCAAAAAUUGAUUGAGGAUGUUCAAAAAUAUAAAAAUUAUUUUUUGACAGUAUAUCAUUAACUGAUGAGAGCCCCGAUGAUAAAGAAAAUUCAAUUUGUGGAAGAAAAAUGCAAAAUCAGAAGUUUAUGGACUCAAUUAAAUUUUAUUAAAGGUUUAAUUGCAUUUAUGAAGAUUUUAAUUGCAAGAAAAAUUGAUUUUGGAGUUAAUUUGGGCUUUAAUUAGGAGAAAUUAAUUUUCUAGGGUCAAAUUAUAAUUUUUGGAAGUUAAUUUGGUCAAAUCAGGGGCUUAAUUGCAUAAAUAUUGAGGUUUAAUGGCCAAUUAGGGACUGAAUUGAAGAAAUCCGAGACCAAGGACUAAAUUGUAAAACGCGCGCAAAUGGAGGGCCGAAAUUUGAAUCUGAUUCUUUUGGCGCCUUUUUCCUUUUAAAUGAAACGGCGCGUUUUGACCAAAACGGCGCCGUUUCAUUCACUGUUACUAAAAAAAAAAAAAAAAAAAAAAAAAACAGAAGCCCAAAACGGUGCCGUUUUGACGGCACUGUAGCUCUUCUUCUUCCCCUGGACGCGCGAGGCAGGGGAAGAAGAAGAUUUUUUCUUCCCCUUUUCGCCUACUUUCUUUCCCGGCUUUGGCGCAAUAAGACGCCCACAAUUCACCCACUUGUUUGGCGUUGUUAUCCGUUGAAGGUAGUGGAGGGGGGCGGCCAACAGUAGCCGCCCCAACACGUUCUCCCUCCCUGUUUUCCUAUAAAUACAGGGGAGGGCUGUUGAAAAAAAAAAAAAAAAAAGAAGAGAGGAGAAGAGAAGAGAAGGGAGAGACAAAGAGAAGAAAGCAGAAGAAGAAGAAGCAGAGAAGAGAGUCCACCGCAGGUAGACUCCGCCCCCCUGUUUUUCCCGUCGUUUUUUUUUGUUCUGCAUGCAUAUUAAUUAGCGAGUUACUGUGCUGUGCACAGUAACUCGCUAAUUAAUUCACGGUUACUGUGCAUGUGCACAGUAACCCGCAGAUUAAUUCUUUGGUUACUGUACACACAGUAACCCGGUUACUAUGUGCACAGUAACCAGCCCAUGCUUUGGGCUAGGUUCGGCCCAGCCCAUAUAUUUGGGCCUAAUCCGGCCCAUUUCAAAGAAAAAAAAUCAAAAAUAUUUGUUUCAGCAUUUUAUAAUUUUUCCGUGUAAUUUUUAUGUCAUUUUGAUUAAUAUUUGGUGGUAUUUUUUUAUGUUGUUAAAAAUACAAAAAUCUGAUAUCAAAAUACCUGGUUUUCGGCAAAAAACUUCCAAAAAUAAAAUUAAAAAUUAAAAAAGAGAAAAAAAUGUUUUUGUGCAUACGGCCAAGUGUCUCAAAAUCUAAAAAAUCAUAUCGUAUUUUUCAUAUGUCAAAAAACAAUAUUUUAGCAUGCAUUUUGGCUUUAAUAACCAGUUUAUUAAAGUCAAGAGAACAUUGGCCAAAAUUUCAAAAACAACAAAAUAUUUUAUUUUGUUUGAUUUUUAGUAUCAGGGAUUAUGAAUUUAUACGUAAAUCGUAUUCCUGAUAUUAAAAAAAUAUUUUCUUUUGACGACUUCGAAUAGUUAGUGUUUUUUUUUUACCCGAUAAAGAUAAGGACCUCCUUAUAGAGGAGGACUUUUCUUAAACCGUAAACGAACCAACAAUUCAAAAAAAAAAAAAACACAACACGAUUUUAGAUUUUAUCAGACAUUAAAACAAUGCAGCCUACCUUAGGUAGGGCGUAGUUGGGGUGCUAAUACCUUCCCUUUACGCAACCAGUCUCCGUACCCGAUCUCUAAAGACCAGUUAAGGUUCCUAGUAACCAGAAUACUAGGUGGCGACUCCCGGUCCAUAUUUUUACAUAUAGAGACAAGAAUUCCUUGUCUCUCCCCAUUUGCCAGGAAUAAAUAUUUCCAAUUUUUUUCCUUGAGGGUGGACGAUCGCCGCGCCGCCGCACACGUGCGACAAUGUUAAUAAUUUAUUAUGAGCUAUUAAUGAGAAAUCAUCCUAUUGGAACCUCCUUUGUGUGUGGUUUCCAAUUGAAUAAUAAAAGUUUAUACUAUACUUGUUUGAAAUACCAUUAGUGGAUCCUCUAACCUUGACAUUUGUUUUAUCAUUGUUUAAUCCUUACAUUAAUCUUCCAUCUCAAAGUUCUCAUUAAUUUCUUCAUCUUCUUCUAUUAUUAUUAUUAUUAUUUUACAUUCUAUUUAUAUUAUAUAAUAUAUCUCUUUGAUCUUUUUAUAAACUCGGUAUAUAGGCUGGAAACCUGUGACCCGAUCUUUUAGAUCAUUCUCAGGUAUAACAACGCCACAUACUGAGUAUUAUUAUUAUUAUUACUACUAUUAGCUGAACAAGUAAGUGCCAUUCUUCAGAAUAAUAAUGCUUUGAAAUAUAAAGACCCUGGUUGUCCUACAAUUUCUUGCUUUAUUGGAGAACAUAAAAUUGAAAGAGCCUUACUUGAUCUUAGAGCUAGUGUGAAUUUACUUCCAUAUUCAGUUUUUCAGAGUCUCAAUCUAGGUGAGUUAAAACCAACUUUUGUAACUCUUUUACUUGCCGAUAGAUCUGUAAAAGUGCCUAGAGGAAUAAUUGAAGAUAUGUUAGUACAAGUCGAUAAAUUCAUUUAUCUUGUGGAUUUUAUUGUCUUGGACACGCAACCUGUUUGAAGCAUGUAAUUCAUUUGCUGUUAUUUUAGGACGUCCGUUUCUUGCAACUUCUAAUGCAUUGAUUAAUUGUAGGAAUGGACUCAUGAAGUUAUCUUUUGGAAACAUGACAUUGGAGAUGAAUAUUUUCAACAUUUGCAAGCAGCCUGGAGAUGAUAAUGAUUUACAAGAAGUAGAUCAUAUUGAAGAAUUAGUUCAUGAUGAACUUGAAUCUACUUUGAGUAAAAUUGAGUUGGAUGAAUCUGAAGAUUUGCAAAUGAUUUAUUCUCAGGAAGAAAUCACGGAUGAAAAAGGCACAAAAAAUGUUGAUGUCGAUCUUUUGUCAAGAGUGACAAAUGAUUUGACAUCUGACAUCCCACCAAUCGAUGAUUACUCUCCUGACGAAUCCUUACUUUCUCCUAAUUCAAUGCCUUGGUUUGCUAAAAAUAUCAAUUUUCUUGCUUCAGGAGAUUUACCAGCUCACUGGAGUACUGAAGACAAAGGAAAGUUUUUGAACAAAGUGAAGAACUUUUAUUGGGAUGACCCUAACUUAUUCAAAUAUUGUCCUGAUCAAAAAAUUCAAAGAUGCAUUCAUGACAAUGAGGUAAAUAGUGUUGUCAUAACCCAAUUCUGGGUUAUUCCCUAAAAAUCAAUUUCUUUCUUCAAAAUAAAAAUAAAAAAAUAAAAUAGAGGCUGGCAACGUGGAGAGAGCAGACUGGGAAAUAAAGCUGCAAUUGUUAGAGGAAUUUCAAGGCCUAAUUGUACCCUAUUAUGCCCAAGAAUAGAAAAAUGCAAAUUCGAAGGUAAAAUUAAACGAUUAUUGGACGAAUUUGCAUAAAAAUUAAGUCCAAUGACAUAAUUAAAUUUUUAAUGGGCCAAUUUGAUUUAAUCAUGGGCCAAAUUAAAUUUUAAUUAUGUUUUAAGAAUUAAUUUAGGUCUAAUUGAAGGAUUUAAUUAAGUGCAAGGACUUAAUUAUACUUUAAGUGGGUCAAUAAUUUUAUUUGGGGCUUAAUUGGUGAAAAAUUAAAUUUGGGAGCCUGAUUUAGGCUUAAUUAAGAAGAUUGGAAUUUUAAGAGACCAAAUUUAAUUUUUACAAGUGAAUUGAUUGAAAUUAGGGGCCAAAAUUGCAUUAAAUCAAAGGUUUAGGGUCAAUUAGGGAUUCCAUUGAACUAAUUUGAAAGAACGCGGACUAAAUUGAAAAACGAAAAAAAAAAAAAUAAAAAUCGGCUGGUUACUGUUCACCUUCUUCCCCGCAAAGCUGCCCGAGUGGCAGACUUCCAGGCGCAUUUUCUACCUCGUUUGUUCCCCAAAUCCGACAAAGCGUGCACCACCAUGUCUACCUGCAAUCCCUCUAUCUCGUAGAGUGGUCCGGUCGGGUCGAACAACUCGAAAACGGCUCCGUUUAUUGGCCCAAAGUGGCACCCUCGGGCAGUCUGCAGCCUUGGAUGGCCAAAUUUGACAGUUCGAGGUGCACUCUUUGAACCAACGGCUUGGAUUCCUCGAGUCGAAUCAAGGGCUGAGACUUUUUCCCCGUUGAAGACAAGAUUACCCUCUCUCUAGACCUAUAAAUAGGAGCCAAUUUCGUGCUCAGGAGGAGGAGAAAAUUGAACGCAAAGUUGGCCGAAAACCAGUAUUUCCUGCCCAGUUCCUGCAACCAGCCCUUUCUCUUCUUUCUCUCUCCACCGUGGCUUCAGCCACUACCACCAUCAUCACCUCUUCUCUUCUGUCAUCUCCACCGUGAGCAGACCACCCUUCAUUCUUCUCCCAGCUGGUCUUUUCCAUCAGCAGCAGCAUCCCUCCUCAGCCACAGCAACAGCUCCAGCCGUGAGCUUUUCCUUCUCCUCUCUAGGACCCGUUUUCUCCUUCUUGCAGCGGCGACCAGAACCAGCAACCGGCAGCAGCAGCACCAAGCUCUCCACCAACACUGCCACCCGCUUCAGGAAGACUACCUAGACCACCUCCAACCUCACGCCAGGCCAGUGACAGCAGCUUCUUUUCCUCCGCAAGGUUGCCUCCUGCUUUUGCUCUGCCACUGCAACGGUGAAGUUGCAUGCAGAACGUGAACCUACUGUUCACGUUCUGCAAUUAAUAUAUAAUAUUAUAUUAUAUACUUUUUAAAACAAAAAAAUCAAAAAUCAUUUUUUUCAAAAAAAAUUGUAAUUUCCUCAAAUAUUUUUCUACCAAGUUUUGUUUAAUAUUGGGUUGUAUACUUACAUUGUAAGAUACAAGUCCGGUAUUAAAAUACCCGGUUUUCUCCGAAAGAAAAAAAUAUAUAUAAAAAAGAAGAAAAAAAUAUUUUAUUGCAUACGGCCAAGUCCUAAAGAAUUUUCCAAGCAUGUUUUCACAAAAAAAUGCAUCUUUCUCACGUUUUUGAAAAUAAAAAAAAUGGAUAUCAUAACUAAUUUAUGACUAUCCAUUAGGGUUUGGCCAAAAUAUCAAAAACCUUUUUCCAAUUUUUUUCUAGGAUCCGAAUGUAGACUUUAAUAUUUGUGGGGUGUAAAAUUACAUGAUAAUGUACAUCCUUGGGUAUUAAAGAUACAAGGUGUAAAUAAAAAAAAAAAAUUAAAAUUCGGACUUUAGAAUGGUUAGGAUUUAAUCGAAUAAGGUAGAGACUCCCUCACGAGGGGAGAUUUGCCUUGAACCGUAGAAAAGACCAGCGAAUAGAAACUCGACCUAGAAAACAAUCAAACAAUAAUGCAGCUUACCUUAGGUAGGGUGCACUGGGGGUGAUGCGUCUUCCCCUUGCACAACCAGUCCCUUACUCAGACUCUCGCAGAUCUUAGGUUCCUAGUGACCAUAAUACUAGGUGGCGACUCCAACGAACCAAGCAAAACACAAAUAAUAAAAAUCGCCAAUCGAUGUCGUGCGGAAUUUUUCGACGUGCGACAGAAUGGCGACUCCGCUGGGGACAACCAUGUGUGGUCGGACUAAGCAUUGAUUGUUUGAUUGUUUUCCUUUUAUUGGUCUUUAUUUUUAGCUCGCAUUUUUUUACUGCUUUAGCAUGCAUUUUAAUUUUGCGAAUAAACCCUAUUCUAGGUUAGGUGGGGAGUAGCGGUCUGCCUCAUGACUUUCAGUCGGGGUUCAGAUUCAUGAAACAUCCAACUAUGAGCUGAGUGUUUACUUGGUAAUGGCGGUCACACUGUGCCCCAACCAUUCCUUGUAAACCCCUACACUGCCUUCACGUGAGGUGGUCACUAGGCAGUUCAUAGACCUUUUCAAGACCAGGUAGAAUGCCUACCCAUCAUGUAAUGACCUAGAACCUUUCUUUAGAGCAUGAACUCUCUUGUUAUUCAUUUUUGCAAAUGUGCAUACAUUUGCAUCCACACACAUACAUCCAUCCAUUGUAAAUAACAUACAUACAUGCGCCAGGUUGAAAUAUAGGUCCCCAAAGAGUCUACAACACUCGACUCUGAGCAAGAAACAUGGAAGGUGAAGAGCGUGCUCACCGUGAUGCCCGUUUCCAAGAAGAGUUAGAGUCUCUGAAAGCAAGCGUGGCUCGCCUCACUAGCUUACUCGAGCAUGCACUUAGAAAUGCCUCUGUUGAAGGUCCUUCCAACCGACCUACUAUUUCUGUUCAGGCUCCAACAAUGGCUCAACCCGAAGAAACAAUGAGUGAACAUGGUCAAGAACCUCCACACAAUCCAGCAUUUGUGCACUCAACGCCAUCAGCACCAGCCCCUGUAGUCAUAGAUCCAUUUGCCAAUGAGUCUCACAAGACCAAGUCAUCUGAUGGCAUUGGUCAAGAUAAAAUGGCGGCGUUGGAAGCUCGAAUUAGAGCCAUUGAAGGGGUAGAGUUGUACGAUCCAGUACGGGCAGCAGAAAUGUGUCUGGUCCCAAAUGUGGUUGUCCCAAAAAAGUUCUGUGUUCCUGAAUUCAUCAAAUAUACCAGAACGCAAUGCCCCAUGACUCAUCUCAAAUCCUACUGCAACAAAAUGGCAGAAGUAGUACAUGAUGAAAAACUACUGAUGCACUUUUUCCAAGAUAGCUUAAGUGGGGCAGCAUUAAGUUGGUAUAUGAGAUUGGACAACACAAAGAUCCAAAAAUGGAAAGACUUGGUGGAUGCUUUUGUCAAGCAAUACAAGUACAAUAUGGACAUUGCUCCUGAUAGAACCAGUCUGUCCAAUCUAGAGAAAAGGGACAAGGAAAGCAUAAGGGAAUAUGCUCAAAGAUGGAGAGACUUAGCUGCUCAAAUACAUCCUUCGCUCCUAGAUAAAGAGAUGGUCACUCUGUUCGCUAAUACACUCAAGGACCCAUACUACGAGCAUGUGAUGGGUAGUUCGGCCCAGCAAUUUACUGAUGCUGUGGCAGUAGCUGAGCGCAUUGAGCAAGGGGUAAAAAGUGGUAGAAUAUCUGUGCCCACUGAGAAAAGAGGCUUUGAGGGUAAAAUGAAAGAGGUCGACUAUGUUGAAGGUGGUUACAUGGGUAGGAAAAACCCAUUCCAAAACUACCACACUUCACCCCAAAUCGCUAACAUCAAUUUCAACCCUUCAUUUCCUACCAGAAAACUUGAGUUUCAAACCAAACACCAAAAAACCCAAGAACAAUUACCUCCAUUACCAUUGCCCUUAAAUGAGAUGUAUCAAAAGCUACUGAGCAUUGGGCGUAUAGCUCCUGAACCCUUGACACCUUUACAACCACCUUACCCCAAUUGGUACAAGCCCGACCUUACUUGCGAAUACCAUGCUGGCGCCGCGGGACACAACAUUCAUACUUGCAGUGCCUUUAAGAAGAGGCUUAUGCAUCUGAUUAAAGUCGGAUGGGUCACCCUCGAAGGAACUCCAAACAUAACUUCGAACCCUCUACCCAAUCAUGCUUCAGGUAGUGGAUCGGUGAAUGCACUAGAGGCGGAAUGCUCUAGAAACCUCAAAGCACCAAUGGCAAGAGCAAGAUGUAAAGAAGGCAAUGUGCACUUUUGAGGAUAGAGGACAAAGUUCUGCUAUAGAAUGGGAAGAUGGAGCCUACCCAAUUAUUGCAUUUUGGCUUGAUCAUGUUUGUUUUAACCCGUUUUAGUCUUGUUGGCAAUUUGGCUCAUAAUGCCACAAGAUUUUCUUUGUUAAAUGAGCCUUUCCUGUUAAUAAAAUCAUGUGUUUUUCUGUGUUCAUGCAAAUAACAUACUGAGCACACCCUUCACUCAUAAAACCACUAAUUCUUUGGUGUUUUCUUUCCUCCCUUCAAAAACCCAUGUUUUCAUAAGGAUUUUUGGGAAUUCAAAGUUUAGUACAAAAACAGAAAUCAAGUUGAUGUUUGUCCGAAACAAACGAGUUCUGGAAAUUAAGGUGAUUCCUUAGAGAGGUAACCAUACACCUAGAAAACCUAAAAAAAAACACACACCAUGAAGUGACUCCAAAGCUGGGUUUUACUUGCAUGAAUAAUGAGAAAUCACUUUGUAUAUUUCGCAUGAAAGCAAGGCUUACCGAUCCUAAAUGCAUGCAUUUGAGAUGAAGAAAGGCCAUCUUUGAUAAUCCUUUCACAAGGCUGAAAUAUAUCAUUUGCAGUCCCCUUUUGAGCCUAAUAAAUUUUUCUUGAAAAAUAACCUUGGCUAGGAUCACACCCUACACUGGGGGGCAAGUGCAAAAAAAUCCAUAAUGAUUGAAAGUGCCCAAAUAACUCUUGGGGGCAUGAAAAAGUCUUCAACGAUGAAAGUGCCCAAACAAUACUAGGGGGCAUAAAAGAAAAUUCUCAAUCAUCAAAGGUGCCCAUAUAAAGCUAGGGGGCAUGAAGAAAAAUCCAAAGGAUCCAAAAAUUUUGAGCAAAAAAAACAAGGCCAAUGCAAUGAUGCUCAAAAUCAAAUGAAGAAAACAAAAACAAAGAGAAAGAGCCCAAGCCCAACAUUGGGGGGCACCGUGGACCAUUUUACAAAUCAAUUCCAAGGUCCAUAAAUGUAUGAACAAAAGAGUUUGGGAUAUAAGCACUAGUGAUCCUUAGUCUUAAAGUCCCUCAAACACCUUUUGAGCCUACAAAUAUCAUUUCUUCAUAGCCAAAAGCCCAAGCCUACAUUACGUGCCUAAUCAAGCCCUUUCUGAUCAAAGGCAAGCAAUCUGGAUCGGUAGGCAGUGCUUUCUCAUGCAAAAUAAAAUCAUUAUUCAUGCAAAUAAAAUGACUGCUUUGAAAACGGUUCUCAAUAACCCUCAAAUUGAAAUUUAAACCUUUUGUGACCAACCAGAUGUCACUUCAUGUUCAUCAUAUUUUCGCCAAUGGUUCUCAAUAACCCACAAAUUGAAAUUUCAACCUUUUGUGACCAACCAAAUGUCACUUCAUAUUUUUCACCAAAAAAAAAAAAAAAGUUUUCAUCACUUCUGAAAACCUCUCCAUAGGAAUCACUUGAAUUUCUUCAGAAUGAGUUUGCUUUGAAUCAAGGUCAAAAUGAUUUCUGUGUUCGGAAUAACUUUGAAAUUCCAAAAAUUCUACAUGAAAACAACUCCUUGUCAAAAACCAAACCUUCCUUCAUAUAGCCUCAUCCCCAAACCUGAAUUGAAUACUUGGGGGCAUGAUCAAGCUAAGGGGCAAUCAAAAACAUCUGGUAGAGCUCGCUCCAUGAUUCCCUUUCUAAGAAACUAUUGGGCAAAAUUGGCAACCCUUGAGAUAAAAGGGCCGGAGAACAAAGAAGUGAUGACAUCAAGUCUUUCAUAGAGGCCAAGAUCGUAAGAUAUUUCUCGAGUAAGCAAGAGGGACAAAAGCCAUCAAAGCUUACUAUCAGAGACUCAAACUUUUGAGAAAAGAAGAACUCCAUGAAGAAAAGGGGACCUAUAUUUCUCAGGUAAGUAUACAUGCAUAUUGUUCAUGAUGCAUUACUUUCAUCCUUGACAGAUCAGUGUCUCACUACUACCUCUUUUCGAGUGCACCUUAGAGCCCCCAACCAUCUUAGGUAGUGUGUCUUCCAACCCUGCCUCUUUUUGAGAGCUCCUUCGAGCCCUCACCUCUUAGGUAGUGUGUUUUCCAACCCUACCUCCUUUUAAGUGCGCUUUAGGGCCAUCAACCACCUUAGGUAGUGUGUUUUCUAACCUUGCCUCAUUUUAGGUGCGCCUUAGGGCCAUUAACCACCUUAGGUAAUGUGUUUUCCAACCCUGCCUCCUUUAGAGUGCGCAUUGGAGCACUCACCUCUUAGGUAGUGGUUUUUCUAACCCUACCUCCUUUCGAGUGCGCUCUUCAGCCCUCGUUCCCCAUCGAGUCCUAUCAUGUCGUCCCUUUCAUACAUUUUGUCUUUUCGCCCAGGCAGGUCACCCAUUAUAAUUAGACCUCUUUCAAAACUCUUUUCAUUUUCCAUUUGGGGCCGGUUGCCCAUAACAAUAAAACCAUUUUUGAGAAAUCAUUGCAUUUCUCCCCACCUUCAAACUUUUUCACUUGGGCCGGUUGCCCAUAACAAUAAAACCAUUUUGAGAAAUCAUUGCAUUUCUCACCGCCUCUAAAAUUUUUCACCAUCUUGAGAAAUCUUAGCAUUUCUCUACCACUUUGAAAAAUCUUUGCAUUUUUCAUCACUCUCCAUCUGGGCCGGUUGCCCAUUACAACAAAACCACUUUGAAAAAUCUCUGUAUUUUUCACCACUUUGAAAAAUCUCUGCAUUUUUCACCUCUUUGAAAAAUCUUUGUGUUUUUGAAAACCUUUCAUCUUGGGCCGGUUGCCCAUUACAACAAAACCACUUUGAAAACAUCUUUGUAUUUUUCACCAUUUUGAGAAAUCUUUGCAUUUCUCACCAACUUGAAAAAUCCUCGUAUUUUUCACCACCUUGAAAACUCUUUUCGUUUUCCAUCUUGGGCCGGUUGCCCAUUACAACAAAACCACUUUGAAAAAUCUCUGUAUUUUUCACCUCUUUGAAAAAUCUCUGUAUUUUUCACCUCUUUAAAACAUCUUCGUGUUUUUCACCCGGGUAGGUCACCCAUGACAAUUCGACCAUUUCAAAAAAAAAAAAAAAAAAAAAAAUCUUCUUUUUUUCUUCUUUACAACACUUACUAUCUAAAGUCUCUUAAGAGACCUUCUACCGUAAGCAUUGUAAAGAGGGGGGCAACUGUCAUAACCCAAUUCUGGGUUAUUCCCUAAAAAUCAAUUUCUUUCUUCAAAAUAAAAAUAAAAAAAUAAAAUAAAGGCUGGCAACGUGGAGAGAGCAGACUGGGAAAUAAAGCUGCAAUUGUUAGAGGAAUUUCAAGGCCUAAUUGUACCCUAUUAUGCCCAAGAAUAGAAAAAUGCAAAUUCGAAGGUAAAAUUAAACGAUUAUUGGACGAAUUUGCAUAAAAAUUAAGUCCAAUGACAUAAUUAAAUUUUUAAUGGGCCAAUUUGAUUUAAUCAUGGGCCAAAUUAAAUUUUAAUUAUGUUUAAGAAUUAAUUUAGGUCUAAUUGAAGGAUUUAAUUAAGUGCAAGGACUUAAUUAUACUUUAAGUGGGUCAAAUUAAUUUUAUUUGGGGCUUAAUUGGUGAAAAAUUAAAUUUGGGAGCCUGAUUUAGGCUUAAUUAAGAAGAUUGGAAUUUUAAGAGACCAAAUUUAAUUUUUACCAAGUGAAUUGAUUGAAAUUAGGGGCCAAAAUUGCAUUAAAUCAAAGGUUUAGGGUCAAUUAGGGAUUCCAUUGAACUAAUUUGAAAGAACGCGGACUAAAUUGAAAAACGAAAAAAAAAAAAAAAUCGGCUGGUUACUGUUCACCUUCUUCCCCGCAAAGCUGCCCGAGUGGCAGACUUCCAGGCGCAUUUUCUACCUCGUUUGUUCCCCAAAUCCGACAAAGCGUGCACCACCAUGUCUACCUGCAAUCCCUCUAUCUCGUAGAGUGGUCCGGUCGGGUCGAACAACUCGAAAACGGCUCCGUUUAUUGGCCCAAAGUGGCACCCUCGGGCAGUCUGCAGCCUUGGAUGGCCAAAUUUGACAGUUCGAGGUGCACUCUUUGAACCAACGGCUUGGAUUCCUCGAGUCGAAUCAAGGGCUGAGACUUUUUCCCCGUUGAAGACAAGAUUACCCUCUCUCUAGACCUAUAAAUAGGAGCCAAUUUCGUGCUCAGGAGGAGGAGAAAAUUGAACGCAAAGUUGGCCGAAAACCAGUAUUUCCUGCCCAGUUCCUGCAACCAGCCCUUUCUCUUCUUUCUCUCUCCACCGUGGCUUCAGCCACUACCACCAUCAUCACCUCUUCUCUUCUGUCAUCUCCACCGUGAGCAGACCACCCCUUCAUUCUUCUCCCAGCUGGUCUUUUCCAUCAGCAGCAGCAUCCCUCCUCAGCCACAGCAACAGCUCCAGCCGUGAGCUUUUCCUUCUCCUCUCUAGGACCCGUUUUCUCCUUCUUGCAGCGGCGACCAGAACCAGCAACCGGCAGCAGCAGCACCAAGCUCUCCACCAACACUGCCACCCGCUUCAGGAAGACUACCUAGACCACCUCCAACCUCACGCCAGGCCAGUGACAGCAGCUUCUUUUCCUCCGCAAGGUUGCCUCCUGCUUUUGCUCUGCCACUGCAACGGUGAAGUUGCAUGCAGAACGUGAACCUACUGUUCACGUUCUGCAAUUAAUAUAAUAAUAUUAUAUAUAUACUUUUAAAACAAAAAAAUCAAAAAUCAUUUUUUUCAAAAAAAAUUGUAAUUUCCUCAAAUAUUUUUCUACCAAGUUUUGUUUAAUAUUGGGUUGUAUACUUACAUUGUAAGAUACAAGUCCGGUAUUAAAAUACCCGGUUUUCUCCGAAAGAAAAAAAUAUAUAUAAAAAAGAAGAAAAAAAUAUUUUAUUGCAUACGGCCAAGUCCUAAAGAAUUUUCCAAGCAUGUUUUCACAAAAAAAUGCAUCUUUCUCACGUUUUUGAAAAUAAAAAAAAUGGAUAUCAUAACUAAUUUAUGACUAUCCAUUAGGGUUUGGCCAAAAUAUCAAAAACCUUUUUCCAAUUUUUUUCUAGGAUCCGAAUGUAGACUUUAAUAUUUGUGGGGUGUAAAAUUACAUGAUAAUGUACAUCCUUGGGUAUUAAAGAUACAAGGUGUAAAUAAAAAAAAAAAAUUAAAAUUCGGACUUUAGAAUGGUUAGGAUUUAAUCGAAUAAGGUAGAGACUCCCUCACGAGGGGAGAUUUGCCUUGAACCGUAGAAAAGACCAGCGAAUAGAAACUCGACCUAGAAAACAAUCAAACAAUAAUGCAGCUUACCUUAGGUAGGGUGCACUGGGGGUGAUGCGUCUUCCCCUUGCACAACCAGUCCCUUACUCAGACUCUCGCAGAUCUUAGGUUCCUAGUGACCAUAAUACUAGGUGGCGACUCCAACGAACCAAGCAAAACACAAAUAAUAAAAAUCGCCAGUCGAUGUCGUGCGGAAUUUUUCGACGUGCGACAAGUGUCAUUAAACUUUGUCAUUCUGAAGCAUGUGGGAGUCAAUUCUCAUCAAGAAAGACGACUGUAAAAAUCUUACAAAAUGGAUUUUAUUGGCCCACCAUGUUCAAGGACACACAUGCAUAUUGCAAAACUUGUGAAAAUUGUCAAAAAGUUGAUACUGGUCAAAAAGUUUUGCUUUAUAAUUCUCGACUUCAUUUAUUUCCUGAAAAAAUAAGAUCACGAUGGAGCGGUCCAUUUAUUUUGAAACAUGUGUAUGCUUAUAGGGUCCUUGAUAUUGAGAAUUCAAAGAAUGACAAUGUUUUGAAGGUAAAUGGACAUCGUUUGAAAGCUUACUUUGAUGAGUUUUCUAGUGAAAAUGAAUCCAUUGGUUUGAAUGAUCUUGUAGAUAAAGGUUGAUUAUUUUGUUUUUCUCAUAUUUUUUUUUUGUGUUCCUUUUUGGUGUGACUUUUGUUUUGCUAGUUUCUCUCACCACGGUCAAAUGGUAGAUAACGGUACUCCGUGACUCUUAAGUCGGUUCUUUCAGUUUCCCAUGAUAACUGAUAUUUGUGUAUAUAUUUGUGCAAUUCUUUGCUCUUUCUCCUUUCUUUGAAUCUUGUCACACGUGUGCGGCGGCGCGACGAUCGUCCACCUUCAAGGAAAAAUCGGAAUAUUUAUUCCUGGCAAAUAGGGAGAGACAAGGAAUUCUUGUCUCUACAAGUGAAAAUAUGGACUGGGAGUCGCCACCUAGUAUUCUGGUUACUAGGCACCUUAACUGGUCUUUAGAGAUCGGGUACGGAGACUGGUUGCAUAAAGGGAAGGUAUUAGCACCCCAACUACGCCAUACCUAAGGUAGGCUGCAUUGUUUUAAUGUAUGAUAAAAUCUAAAAUCGUGUUGUGGUUUUUUAAUUGUUGGUUCGUUUACGGUUUAAAAAAAGUCCUUCUCUCUAAGGAGAUCCUUAUCUUUAUCGGGUAAAAAAAAACUAACUAUUCGAAGUCGUCAAAAGAAAAUAUCUUUUUAAUAUCAGGAAUACGAUUUACGUAUAAAUUCAUAAUCCCUGAUACUAAAAUCAACAAAAUAAAAUUUUUGUUGUUUUUUUGAGAUUUUGGCCAAUGUUCUCUUGACUUUAAUAAACUGGUUAUUAAAGCCAAAAAUGCAUGCUAAAAUAUUGUUUUUUUUUUUUUACAUGAAAAAUACGAUAUGAUUUUUUAGAUUUUGAGACACUUGACCGUAUGCACAAAAACAUUUUUUAAAAAAAAAUUUCAAUUUUUUUUUUGUAUUUUUGGAAGUUUUGACGAAAACUGGGUAUUUUAAUACCGGAUAUAUAUUUUUACGAUGUAAAAUACAGACCGAUGUUAAGCAAAAUUGAUAAAAAAUUACGCGGAAAAAUUAUAAAAAUGUUGAAACAAAUAAUUUAUUUUUAUUUAUUUUUUGUUUUUGUUUUUUUAAAUAAACAGUGCAUGAAACGACGCCGUUUUGGUCAAAACGCGCCGUUUCAUUUAAAAGGAAAAGGCGCCAAAACGCGUCAUAUUCAAAUUUAGGCCCUCUAUUUGCGCGCGUUUUACGAUUUAGUCCUUGGUCUCGGAUUUCUUCAAUUAAGUCCCUAAUUGGCCAUUAAACUUCAAUAUUUAUGCAUUUAAGCCCCUGAUUUAACCAAUUUAACUUCCAAAAAUUAUAAUUUGACCCCAGAAAAUUAAUUUCUUCUAAUUAUAACCCAAAUUAACUCCAAAAUCAUUUGUUUUUGCAAUUAAACUCUCCAUAAAUUCAAUUAAACCUUGAAUAAAAUUUAAUUGAGUCCAUAAACUUCUGAUUUUGGAUUUUUCUUCCUCAAAUUGAAUUUUCUUUAUUAUCGGGGUUCUCAUAAGUCAAUGAUAUACUGUCAAAAAUUAAUUUUUAUAUUUUUGAACAUCCUCAAUCAAUUUUUGAGCAUUUUUAGGGCGCUCUGGUAUUUUUUCACUGUUUUUAUUUUUUUAUAAUAUUUUUUUUUGAAUUUUUUUGUAUUUUAUUAUUUUUUUAUGUGGGGACCCAAAAAUGGGUUACAACAGUUGCCCCCGUCUUUACAAUGCUUACGGAACAAAAUUUUUGCGUAGUAAGUGUUGUAAAGAUAAACAAAAUUGGUCUUCCAAAAUUAAUCUUCUCAAAAUUUGGUUGACCUAAAACUUGAACCGGAUCCAAAGUCCUGUGUGUGGUUGGGUUAAACUGGUCUAUUUUCACAGGCGACCUGCCCACACACUCACGCUAACACUGGUCUAUUUUCAUGGGCGACUUGCCCAAACAUAAAAAGUAAAGAGUGGUCUCAUUGUAAAGGGUGACCUACCCAGGUGAAGGAAUGGUCUCAUUGUAAUGGGUGACCUACCUAGAUAAAAAACAUGGAGAAGUGGAUGACGAGGGCUCAAAGGCUUACUCAAAAAGAGGUAGGGUUAGAAAAACACACUACCCAAGAGGUGAGGGCUCAAAAGCACACUAAAAAAGAGGUAGGGUUAGAAAACGCACUACCUAAGGAUGAGAGCUUAAAGGCACACUCAAAAUAGAGGUGAGGGCUCAAAGGCGCACUCAAAAGGAGGUAGGGUUAGAAAACGCACUACCUAAGGGAUGAGGGCUCAAAGGCGCACUCAAAAUAGAGGUGAGGGCUCAAAGGCGCACUCAAAAGGAGGUAGGGUUAGAAAACGCACUACCAAAGAGAUGAGGGCUCAAAGGCGCACUCAAAAGGAGUUGAGGGCUCAAAGGCGCACUCAAAAGGAGGCAGGGUUAGAAAACGCACUACCUAAGGGAUGAGGGCUCAAAGGCGCACCCAAAAUGGAGGUGAGGGCUCAAAGGCACACUCAAAAGGAGGUAGGGUUAGAAAACGCACUACCUAAGAAAUGAGGGCUCAAAGGCGCACUUAAAAUGGAGGUGAGGGCUCAAAGGCGCACUCAAAAGGAGGCAGGGUUAGAAAAUGCACUACCUAAGGGAUGAGGGCUCAAAGACGCACUCAAAAGGAGGUGAAGGCUCAAAGGUGCACUCAAAAGGAGUUGAGGGCUCAAAGGCGCACUCAAAAGGAGGUAGGGUUAUAAAACGCACUACCUAAGGGAUGAGGGCUCAAAGGCACACUCAAAAUGGAGGUGAGGGCUCAAAGGCGCACUCAAAAGGAGUUGAGGGCUCAAAGGCACACUCAAAAGGAGGUAGGGUUAGAAAACGCACUACCUAAGGAAUGAGGGCUCAAAGGCGCACUCAAAAUAGAGGUGAGGGCUCAAAGGUGCACUCAAAAUGGAGGUGAGGGCUCAAAGGCGCACUCAAAAGGAGGCAGGGUUAGAAAACGCACUACCUAAGGGAUGAGGGCUCAAAUGCGCACUCAAAAUGGAGGUGAGGGCUCAAAGGCGCACUCAAAAGGAGGUGAGGGCUCAAAGGCACACUCAAAAGGAAUUGACGGCUCAAAGGCGCACUCAAAAGGAGGUAGGGUUAUAAAACGCACUACUUAAGGGAUGAGGGCUCAAAGGCGCACUUAAAAUAGAGGCGAGGGCUCAAAGGCGCACUCAAAAGGAGGCAGGGUUAGAAAACGCACUCCCAAAAAGUUGAUGUUGAAACACUGAUCUGUCAAUGUUGAAAGAAAAUGCAUUUAUGAUUGAUAUGCAUGUAUACUUACUUGAGAAAUAUAGGCCCCCAUUUCUUCAUGGUGUCUUUCUUUUCUCUCAAAAGUUGUAGUGUUGGUAGUAAACUUCGAUGGCUUUUCCACGUUUGCUUACUCGGGUUACACAUUGUGAUCUUGACCUCUAGGAAGGGUUUGAUGUCAUCAUACAUCUUUGUCCUUCACCCUUUAUCUCAAGAGUUGCUAAUUUUGCCCGACAUUUUCCUUAGAACAGGAAUCAUGGAGCCAGCCCUACCAUGUGUUUUUGAUUGCCCCCCAGCUUGAUCAUGCCCCCCAAGUGUUCAACUUGGAUUUAGUUUGGGGUGAGGAUAUGUGAAAGUAAGUUUGGGUUUUUUUUGUACAAUGAAAUGUUUUUGGAACUUCCAAGUUAUUCCAAUCACAAAAAUUAUUUUGACAUUGGUUCAAAAUAAACACUUGUUCUAAAAAAUUUAAGCGAUUCCUAUGGAUAGGUUUCUUAAAGUGAUGAAAGCUUUUUGCUUUUUGUUUAAAGAUGAAGUGACAUCUGAUUGGUCACAAAAGGUUUAAAUUUCAAUUUGAGGGUUAUUGAGAACCAAUGAUUCAAAGCAUUUAUUUUAUUUGCAUGAAUAAUGAUUUGACCGGCAUGAGAAAGCACUGCAUACCGAUCCAGAUUGCUGGCAUUUGAUCAGAAAGGGCUUUACCAGGUAUGUAAUGUAGGCUUUGGCUAUUGGUUAUGAAGAAAAUGGAUAUGUUGCAGGCUCAAAAGGUUUUUAAGGGAUUUGAAGACUAGGGAUCACUUGUGCUUGUUUCCUGACCUUUGUUUUCAAAAUAGUCUUCAUGCCCUCCAGUGUCGGGUUUGAGCUUUUCUCUUUAUUUUCUUCAUUUUUGUUUGGUUGAGCACAAUCAUAUCAGUUGUUUUUAUGAGAAGCUCAAAUCUUUUAACCAAUCAUAGUAUUUAUCUUCACUGUUUCAUUUGGAUGAUAAUGAAAGAUUAAACAUUACAUGAUCAAUUCCAGCACCCAUCUUCACUGCUUUGUCUGGAUGGUAAAAACAACAAACUCUCUUAUUUUGCCCCCUAGUGUGGAGUGUGAUCCUAGUCAAGGUUAUUUCUAAAAAAACAUUACUAGGCUCAAAAUGGGACUGCAAAGGAUAUUUUUUUAGCCUUGUGAAAGGAUUAUCAAAGAUGGUCUUUCCUCAUCUCAAACUCAUGUAUUGAGGAUUGAUAGGUGUUGCUUUCAUGCGCGUAUGCAAAGUGAUUUAUUCAGUCAAAUAAAACUCAGUUUUUAAAUCACCUCAUAGUGUUGUUUGUCUUUGUUGUCUUUUUUCUUUCAAGUUUUCUAGGUAUAUGUGUACCUAUUUAAGGAAUCACUUGAAUUUUCAAAAUGCAUUUGUUUUGGACAAAUAUCGACACGAUUUUUGUUUUUGUACUCACUUUGGAGGUCCCAAAAAAAUAUCCUUGAAAACAUAUGAGAUUAAUGUAUGGGUUUGGAAGAAAGGAACACCAAAGGAUUCUUCAUGUUGUAGUGUUGUGAGCAAAGUUGCGCUCAAAAUGUUAUUUACAUGUAAUAACAACAAAGAAGAGUGUGAUGUGAACACAAGAAAACACAUGAUCUUAUUUCACAAGAAAGCUCAUUAACAGAGAAAGUCUUAUUCAAAAGCAUUAACAAAAGGCAAUAACAAGGCAGGCUUCAUUCCUCUAUUUUGGCGAAUCUGUUCAUAGGCUAACCUCCUCUCAAAAGCUCUGCGUAGAGGACUCAAAGACAAUGCGGAACAACACCACGGUCAAAAUUUGAGUUCUACAAAAUUCAAGCUAUCAUGCUGGACCAUUGAUGCUUUCCAAUUCCCCAAACAUUCCAUCCUAAUAUGCUUCAAGCAUGAUUAGGCAACGGGUUCGUAUUCACAUUGGGGGCAUCUUCCAAUUCUAUCCACCAGCCUUGAUUAAUUGCAGAAGCUUUCUCUUGAAGGCGUUGCAGGUAUAGAUGCUAUGCCCAGUAAUACCGGCAUGGUAUUCACAAUUGAGUUCUGGCUUGUACCAAUUAGGAUAAGGUGGCUGCAGAGGUGUUAGAGGUUCUGGAGCUAUUUGCCCGAUGCUCAAUAGCUUUUGAUACAUCUCAUUCAGGGGUAACGGUAGUGGAGGUAGUUGUUCUUGAACCCUUUGGAAAUUUCCAAUUUGGCUUUUGGCUUGAAAGUUUUGGGGUUCAGGUUUUUUGAUGUUGGCAAUUUGGGAUGGAGUAUGGUAAUUUUGGGAUGUAUUUUUUUACCCAUGUAGCCAUCUUCAACAUGGUGAACCUCUUUUUUUCGACGCCUCUUUUCUCGGUUGGUGCAGCAAUUCUACCACUCUUGACACCUUGCUCUAUGCGUUCACACACUAUCACAGCAUCAGUGAAUUGUUGGGCUGAACUACCCAUCAUAUGUUCGUAAUAUGGUGCUUUGAGUGUGUUGGCAAAGAGACCAUCUCUUUGUCCAGAAGUGGGGGAUGUACUUGAGCAGCUAAUUCUCGCCAUCUUUGAGCAUAUUCCCUUAUGCUUUCUUUAUCCUUUUUCUCUAUAUUGGACAAACUGGUUCUGUCGGCGCAAUGUCCAUGUUGUACUUGUAUUGCUUGACGAAAGCAUCCACAAGAUUUUCCAGUUGCGAAUUUUUGUGUUAUCCAAUCUCAUGUACCAACUCAAAGUUGCCCCACUUAAACUGUCUUGGAAAAAGUGCAUUAGUAGUUUUUCAUCAUGUACUACCUCAACCAUUUUAUUGCAGUAGGACCUGAGAUGAGUCAUGGGGCAUUGUGUUCCACUAUAUUUGAUGAAUUCAGGAACACGAAAUUUCUUUGGGAUAACCACAUUUGGAACCAAACACAUCUCUGAUGCCCGUACAGGGUCAUAUAAGUCUAAUCCUUUAAUGGCUUUGAGUCUGGCUUCCAGCGCCUCUAUCUUAGCUUGAUCAAUGCUAUCAGAUGACUUAGCCUUGUGGGACUCAUUAGCAGAUGCCUCCAUGACUAUUAGGGAUGGUGUAGGUGUCGUUGACUGCAUAAAUGUUGGAUUUUGUUGAGGCUCUUGACCAUGUUCGCUUAUUCUUUCUUCAGGCUGAACUGUAGUAGGAGCUGGAUCAAAGGUGAUCGGUCGAUUAGAAUGACCUUCACCAGAGGUAUUUCUUAGUGUUUGCUUGAGUAAGCUAGUGAGGUGAGCCACACUUGUUUUUAAAGACUCCAACUCUUCUUGCAAAUAGGCAUCACGUUGAGCACGCUCUUCAUCUUCCAUGUUUUUUUGCUCGAAUUCGGGUGUUGUAGACUUUUUGGGGACCUAUAUUUCAAUCUACCAUGUAUGCAUGUUAAAUGUAUGAACAUGUAAUAUAUAUGAUGAACUCGCCCUUCGAGGGAUGACAAUAUGGUCGUAACUCUUGUAUGAUGGAACAAGAAUCGUGAUUUUUGCCCAAACUCUACAAUGAAAAUUUUCGAAGUGACGGCCAUUGUGUCACUCACAAGUCUUAAGUUUAGGAUGCUUCAAGAAGGGUUUGCCCGUAUGCAAAUAACGAUAGCACAUACAUCCUAAGGACAAGUUCUAUUCAUUAUGUGAACAUGGGUAAGUUUUCUAUCUGGUCUCAAAAGGGUCUCAUAUCUGCCCAGUGACGAUCUUCGUAAAGACAGUAUGGGGGCGUUGCAAAGAACAGUUAAGGCAUGUAUGCCCACCAUUACUAAGCAGGCUCUCAAAUAUGAGUUGGGUGUUUCACGCAUCUGAACCCGACCAAUAGUCAUAGGGCAGAUCGUUAAUUCCCCACCUAACUUAGAAGCUUGUGUGUGCUUGAAAAAUAUAAAGCAUGUGAUGCAUGAGGCAGUUCUAUGCAAUGCAUGAACAAAUAUGUACAGAAAUUAAAGCGCAUAAGAAAUAAAGGAAAUGCAUAAAAAUAAACACGCAAACCACAACAAUAAAACACAAUAAUCAGAAAAAACCAAAGCUUAGUCCACAAAGUCCCCAGUGGAGUCGCCAUUCUGUCGCACGUGUGCGGCGGCGCGAUGAUCGUCCACCCUCAAGGAAAAAUGGGAAUAUUUAUUCCUGGAAAAUAGGGAGAGACAAGGAAUUCUUGUCUCUACAAGUGAAAAUAUGGACUGGGAGUCGCCACCUAGUAUUCUGGUUACUAGGAACCUUAACUGGUAUUUAGAGAUCGGGUACGGAGACUGGUUGCAUAAAGGGAAGGUAUUAGCACCCCAACUACGCCAUACCUAAGGUAGGAUGCAUUGUUUUAAUGUAUGAUAAAAUCUAAAAUCGUGUUGUGGUUUUUUAAUUGUUGAUUCGUUUACGGUUUAAAAAAAGUCCUCCUCUGUAAGGAGAUCCUUAUCUUUAUCGGGUAAAAAAAAACUAACUAUUCAAAGUCGUCAAAAGAAAAUAUCUUUUUAAUAUUAGGAAUAAGAUUUACGUAUAAAUUCAUAAUCCCUGAUACUAAAAUCAACAAAAUAAAAUUUUUGUUGUUUUUUUGAGAUUUUGGCCAAUGUUCUCUUGACUUUAAUAAACUGGUUAUUAAAGCCAAAAAUGCAUACUAAAAUAUUGUUUUUUUUUUUUGACAUAUGAAAAAUACGAUAUGAUUUUUUAGAUUUUGAGACACUUGGCCGUAUGCACAAAAACAUUUUUUUAAAAAUUUUUCAAUUGUUUUUUUGUAUUUUUGUAUUUUUGGAUGUUUUGACGAAAACUGGGUAUUUUAAUACCGGAUUUAUAUUUUUACGAUGUAAAAUACAGACCGAUAUUAAGGAAAAUUGAUAAAAGAUUGCGCGGAAAAAUUAUAAAAAUGUUGAAACAAAUAAUUUAUUUUUAUUUAUUUUUUGUUUAUUUUUUGUUUUUUUUAAAUAAACAGUGCAUGAAACGGCGCCGUUUUGGUCAAAACGCACCGUUUCAUUUAAAAGGAAAAUGCGCCAAAACACGUCAGAUUCAAAUUUAGGCCCUCCAUUUGCGUGUGUUUUACAAUUUAGUCCUUGGUCUCGGAUUUCUUCAAUUAAGUCCCUCAUUGGCCAUUAAACUUCAAUAUUUAUGCACUUAAGCCCCUGAUUUGACCAAUUUAACUUCCAAAAAUUAUAAUUUGACCCCAAAAAAUUAAUUUCUUCUAAUUAAAACCCAAAUUAACUCCAAAAUCAAUUUUGUUUUGCAAUUAAACUCUCCAUAAAUUCAAUUAAACCUUUAAUAAAAUUUAAUUGAGUCCAUAAACUUCUGAUUUUGGAUUUUUCUUCCUCAAAUUGAAUUUUCUUUAUUAUCGGGGCUCUCAUCAGUCAAUGAUAUACUGUCAAAAAUUAAUUUUUAUAUUUUUGAACAUCCUCAAUCAAUUUUUGAGCAUUUUUAGGGCGCUCUGGUGUUUUUUCACUGUUAUAUUUUUUAUAAUAUAUUUUUUUGAAUUUUAUUAUUUUUUAUGUGGGGACCCAAAAAUGGGUUACAACAAAUCUCUCCCCCAAUUCUCAGUUGAAAAUGGACACCACUCUUGAAAAAUUAAAAAAGUAUUUUCCCGCUCUGCCUCAGAAUGCAAUUACAAAAAUUUACCGUGUUAGUGUGAAAGAUUGAGGUUGUUAAUGAACCAUGAAAUUCCUGAAGAUAUUCGUUGGCUGAUUGAAGCAAAGGUCCGAUUAUCAGGUGAGUCCUUCAAUUCUUUCAUUUCACAUAUGCCUGGAACAGGUAAAAGCAUUUUUGCAAAGAAACGUCAUGUAAAACGACUGAAAGUCUGUCAUAGAUGUGCCAGAUGGACUUGUAAUGCGACAUGUCGUUCUUUAGGAAUGGUAUCUGUAAACCGUGAAGAUAAAAUACAAUUCAUUAAGGAUGACCUGAGUAAAGGGUCUUUAGAUAAUCUUCUAUUGACUCUUGAGACGCACCCUAGUGGAGAUGUGCAUCAUGCAAUUUAUGAUUUAUGGCCACAAUUCCAUAAAGAACAUGCUCGACUUAGUCUUGGGAAUCUGACUAAAAAAGACCAUGUUUGCUAGUUUUUAAGAAAACUGGAUAGAAAGCCUAUCCCCGACCCAUAGAGGGCGUUUAAGCCGUUUUUGGACGUAAAACCAAGGAAAGAUGUGAGCCACAAUAAAAAAUACCUGUACAUACACAUGCUUUUUCAAAAUAAAUAAAUAAAAAAAAAGAGAGAGAGAGAGUGUGAGACUACGACUGACCUACAUAUAGGUGGUGUGAUUGCAUUUUCGAUUUCUCAUCUAUAAAUAUUUACGUCUUUUGGUUUUAUUAUUGUGUUUUGUUGUUUCUUUUAUUUGUUUAAGUAUGUUUCAGGUUUGUUAGUGUUUGCUAUUUCAGGUGAUGUCUUCUAUACUCUAUCUUUCUACCUUAAGACAUUGAGGACAAUGUCUCAUUUUGGUUGGGGGGAAAGGGUAGUAGUUGAUAAUUAAAAAAAAAAAAUUGUGUUUCCUAUUUCAUAAACUAUUUGCAAAAUUGUUGUUACUAGGAUGACAGAGUAAAAGCAGUUCUUUUGUUAAAAGUGACUCUUGAGACGCAUCUUAGUAAACAUUCUUAACAGGGUCUAUCAGAAUACUUCUUGAAAUAUUCAGGUUUACAAACUCUCGUAUUGGUAGCACUUGAUUCUGCUCAUAUGCUCAUUUAACAAGUAUUCUUAAAUCUUCAUUUUCACACACACACUUUAACAUAUGAUUAUGGGUUGCACAUUGAAUUAUUACAUUAUUUAUGUUCUUUUGUUAAAGGUAACAACUAAGGGAAAUUGAUAGUAUAUAAUUUGCAAAAUAAAAGAAAAGCAAAACAAAACAAAAACAAAAAAAUAAUGAUAAUAAAAAGGUAGAUAAGUUUGGUUUCGUAGCCUCCCUAACCUAAGCAAUUAAGACCGAAGGGGUGUUUUAACACUUAAUACCCUAAAGUCAACUGACUUGGGAGCUAUUGGCCCAACGCUUGUUACAUGGGUUAAGGAGAAAAGCUUAAGGGAAUCAAACAUUGCACUAUCUACGUAUUAGUAUCUGCAACCCGAGUUGCUAAGCUCGUAGAGGUGUCUCAACACCUAAUGCCCUAAGACCAACUGGUCUGGGAGUCAUUAGCUUAAAACUCGUUACAUGGGUUAAAGAUACAUUGUGUUUCAAGUUGUAUGUGUAUAUAAAUAAAUAAAUAAAUAAAUAAAUAAAGAAAAAAAAAUAACAAUCCCAACCUAAGGAAGUUCGCCUUAAACAUUAGAACAAAAAUUUGUUUUUCUUCCAAGUAAAGCCCCAUAACUAUAUGUUGAUAUUUUGAGCACAAAAGAAAGGUUUAGUAAUAUCUUGUUUAAGAGGUAUUGAGCAGAUAUAUGAAUUUAAUGAGAGUUUGUUUAUCUGGAUAAAUUAAAGUAAGUUGAAUGAUGAAUGCCUUGCUUUAUGGAAUUUGCAAAUUGUUUUUCUAUUUUAACAUUUUGAUUACUAGGGACUAGUAAUAAGCUGGUUGGGGGGUGUGAUUAGUAUUUAAAAAGUGCAUAUUUAUCAAGGUUUUAUAUUAUCAUUUUGCACUUAAAGUAUCAAUAACUCCUUAACUAAAGCAUGUUUUAUAAUAACAAGUCUAAUACUAUAAAAUGCCUUAAUAUAUGGUAAAUGUUCAUCUUAAAUGCAGGUUUAUCACAUAAAUCAAAGGAUUGAUUGUUGAAUUCAACUACUGAAAUUUGCGAAGAUAAAGAGAGGGUGAAACUUAGAAAAGAGAUGUUGGUGCAGUCCAAACUGGAACACUGUUUGGUGUUUGGGUCAUAUCUCAAGUUCUAAAUGUCCAAAUGACCUCAAAUGUUUACACAAAUUCAGUAAGACAUAGGCCUACAACUUUUAUAUUUUCAUCAAGAUCUAAGAAAGCCGUUUUCAAGUCCAAAUGAUAGCAACAACGGAGAAAUUCAAAUCUGUCUUGCAGCUCGAAUUCAGUGUUUGGCCCAUAACUGGAGUUCUAGAAGUCCAAAUGACCUCCAUUUUUUUUUCCUGGAAAGCUGAGUCAAUUGCCUACAACUUUCAUGUUUUCUAGUGGACCCAGUUCGGAUGGUAACAUUUUUGUUUUAUUCAUACAAGAAGAUAAGGAUUUUCACCAAGUCAAAAGUUGGCCACCCACUCAACAAUUAGUCAUCAAAUCAAUAAUUCCGAAUUUUGGCCUAUAAAAGGAGGCAUUUGCCAUAUAUUUGGGGGCUUGGUUAUUCAGAUCAAGCUCAUGCUCUUUAUUUCUUUCUUUAUAUUUUUUUUUUCAUAAUUUUUAAGUUUUGCUUUCAUUAAUAUCUUGUUUAUGCUUUUCAUUUCCUUUCCUUUACUUAGUUAACUUGUAUUUUCUUUAUGUUCUUGUUUUGUUUAUUUAUGUUUCUCUUUUUCAUAUGUUCUUGUUUUGUUUAUUUAUGUUUCUCUUUUUCAUUAUGUUUAGCUAAGUUUAUUAUGUCAAGGUGAAAAGGUUACACUAAUGGUGUAAGAAUAAAUAUAGUGUAAACUCAACAUGGAUCUUAAU
rnacentral:lncRNA from 1 species